GACGAACGCUGGCGGCGUGCUUGACACAUGCAAGUCGAACGGAAAGGCCCCCAUCUUGGUGGGGGUGCUCGAGUGGCGAACGGGUGAGUAACACGUGGGUGAUCUGCCCUGUACUUCGGGAUAAGCUUGGGAAACUGGGUCUAAUACCGGAUAGGACCAUGGUUUAGUGUCUCAUGGUGGAAAGAUUAUUGUUUUGGUGCAGGAUGAGCUCGCGGCCUAUCAGCUUGUUGGUGGGGUAAUGGCCUACCAAGGCGUCGACGGGUAGCCGGCCUGAGAGGGUGGACGGCCACAUUGGGACUGAGAUACGGCCCAGACUCCUACGGGAGGCAGCAGUGGGGAAUAUUGCACAAUGGGCGCAAGCCUGAUGCAGCGACGCCGCGUGGGGGAUGACGGCCUUCGGGUUGUAAACUCCUUUCGUUAGGGACGAAGCCGCACUUUUUUUGGGUGUGGUGACGGUACCUUUGUUAAGAAGCACCGGCUAACUACGUG
rnacentral:rRNA from 1 species